GCAUUGGCGGGUCAGUGGUGGAAUUCUUGCCUUUCAUGCAGGAGACCCGGGUUGGAUUCCAGGCUAAUGCG
rnacentral:tRNA from 1 species